rnacentral:rRNA from 1 species
UACGGGGGGGGUAAGCGUUGUUCGGAAUUACUGGGCGUAAAGAGCUCGUAGGCGGUUCGAUAAGUCGGGUGUGAAACCUCCAGGCUCAACCUGGAGACGCCACCCGAUACUGUCGUGACUAGAGUCCAGUAGGGGAGCGUGGAAUUUCUGGUGUAGCGGUGAAAUGCGCAGAUAUCAGGAGGAACACCAGCGGCGAAGGCGGCGCUCUGGGCUGGAACUGACGCUGAGGAGCGAAAGCGUGGGGAGCGAACAGG